rnacentral:rRNA from 1 species
GAUGAACGCUGGCGGCGUGCUUAACACAUGCAAGUCGAACGAAGCAUUUGCGACAGAUUUUUUCGGAAUGAAGUUGCUUAUGACUGAGUGGCGGACGGGUGAGUAACGCGUGGGUAACCUGCCUUGUACUGGGGGAUAGCAGCGGGAAACGGCUGGUAAUACCGCAUAAGCGCACAAUGUUGCAUGACAUGGUGUGAAAAACUCCGGUGGUAUAAGAUGGACCCGCGUCUGAUUAGCUAGUUGGUGAGCUAACAGCCCACCAAGGCGACGAUCAGUAGCCGACCUGAGAGGGUGACCGGCCACAUUGGGACUGCGACACGGCCCCGACUCCUACGGGAGGCAGCAGUGGGGAAUAUUGCACAAUGGAGGAAACUCUGAUGCCGCGACGCCGCGUGAGUGAAGAAGUAAUUCGUUAUGUAACGCUCUAUCAGCAGGGAAGAUAGUGACGGUACCUGACGAAGAAGCGCCGGCUAAAUACGUG